rnacentral:rRNA from 1 species
UACGAAGGGGGCUAGCGUUGCUCGGAAUUACUGGGCGUAAAGCGCACGUAGGCGGCUUUCUAAGUCGGGGUGAAAUCCUGGAGCUCAACUCCAGAACUGCCUUCGAUACUGGAGAGCUUGAGUCCGGGAGAGGUGAGUGGAACUGCGAGUGUAGAGGUGAAAUUCGUAGAUAUUCGCAAGAACACCAGGUGGCGAAAGGC